UCCUUAGCGUAGUAUUCUAACAAGUACUACAAGCGCAUGCACACUUGUGUUGCGUAAAAAUGCACAACGAUGAUGCCUAGUCAUUUUCGUUCCUAAAACCCAUGCUUGCUCUAGUAUGGUCGGGUACCUAAGCUUGUGCUUUUGCACUACGUAAGCGGUAGAUGCUUGUCUAUCGUGUGGCGUAAAGAUUAUUCAGGCCUUUGAAUAACGCCCGCUUAGC
rnacentral:misc_RNA from 1 species